GCCAGCGUGGCGGAAUGGGUAUACGCGCCAGGCUUAAACCCUGGUGAGCGGUGAUCUCGCUCGUGUGGGUUCGUUGGCCCACCGCUGGUA
rnacentral:tRNA from 1 species